rnacentral:rRNA from 1 species
AGAUUGAACGCUGGCGGCGUGCCUAACACAUGCAAGUCGAUCGGUAACAGGUGUAGCAAUACAUGCUGACGAGAGGCGGACGGGUGAGUAACGCUUGGGAAUCUGCCUAUUAGUGGGGGACAACCCGGGGAAACUCGGGCUAAUACCGCAUACGCUCUACGGAGGAAAGCCGGGACCGCAAGGCCUGGCGCUAAUAGAUGAGCCCAAGUCGGAUUAGCUAGUUGGUAGGGUAACGCCUACCAAGGCGACGAUCCGUAGCUGGUCUGAGAGACGACCAGCCACACUGGGACUGAGACACGGCCCAGACUCCUACGGGAGGCAGCAGUGGGAAUAUUGGACAAUGGGGGAAACCCUGAUCCAGCGACGCCGCGUGGGUGAAG